UAGAGGGUGAUAAUCCCGUCUGGGAUGGGCGGCCGCGCCCGUGUGAAGCUCCUUCGACGAGUCGAGUUGUUUGGGAAUGCAGCUCUAAGCGGGUGGUAGAUUCCAUCUAAAGCUAAAUAUUGGCCGGAGACCGAUAGCGCACAAGUAGAGUGAUCGAAAGAUGAAAAGCACUUUGAAAAGAGAGUUAAACAGCACGUGAAAUUGUUGAAAGGGAAGCGUUGUCCACCAGACUCGCCCGGGGGGGCUCAGCCGGCACGUGUGCCGGUGUACUCCUCUCCGGGCGGGCCAGCAUCGGUUUGGGCGGCUGGUGAAAGGCCCCGGGAAUGUAACACCCUCCGGGGUGCCUUAUAGCCCGGGGUGCCAUGCAGCCAGCCUGGACCGAGGCCCGCGCUUCGGCGAGGAUGCUGGCGUAAUGGUGGUCAACGGCCCGUCUUGAAACACGGACCAAGGAGUCUAACAUCUAUGCGAGUGUUCGGGUGUCAAACCCGUCCGCGCAGUGAAAGCGAACGGAGGUGGGAGCCCCUCGGGGCGCACCAUCGACCGAUCCUGAUGUCUUCGGAUGGAUUUGAGUAAGAGCAUAGCUGUUGGGACCCGAAAGAUGGUGAACUAUGCCUGAAUAGGGCGAAGCCAGAGGAAACUCUGGUGGAGGCUCGCAGCGGUUCUGACGUGCAAAUCGAUCGUCAAAUUUGGGUAUAGGGGCGAAAGACUAAUCGAACCAUCUGGUAGCUGGUUCCUGCCGAAGUUUCCCUCAGGAUAGCAGUAACGACAUCAGUUUUAUGAGGUAAAGCGAAUGAUUAGAGGCCUUGGGGUUGAAACAACCUUAACCUAUUCUCAAACUUUAAAUAUGUAAGAAGCCCUUGUUGCUUAGUUGAACGUGGGCGUUAGAAUGAAACGUUACUAGUGGGCCAUUUUUGGUAAGCAGAACUGGCGAUGCGGGAUGAACCGAACGCGAGGUUAAGGUGCCGGAAUGCACGCUCAUCAGACACCACAAAAGGUGUUAGUUCAUCUAGACAGCCCGACGGUGGCCAUGGAAGUCGGAAUCCGCUAAGGAGUGUGUAACAACUCACGGGCCGAAUGAACUAGCCCUGAAAAUGGAUGGCGCUCAAGCGUGCUACCCAUACCUCGCCGUCGGGGUAGAAACGAUGCCCCGACGAGUAGGCAGGCGUGGAGGUCCGUGACGAAGCC
rnacentral:rRNA from 1 species